GCAAUGUGGGGCUCAGAUUUAUAAUCCUGAGAAUAAAGAGUUGCAUGCUCUGUCGACUGAGCCAGCCAGACACCCCAAUGAGCCAAUUUUCUACAUUAAUCCUUGAAAACUUUGUGAAUUAAAGUUAAUGUCCCAUUUUAAAGGCAAGGAAACAGACUGAUGCUCUGUGACUUGCCCAAGGCUGUACAGCUAGCAUGCAGUGGAGCUGGGAUGCAAGUAGGAGCCUGCCUGGCUCCAAAGCAUUUCUUUCUUCCAUCUCCCUGUGGGUCUUAUAAUCCCAUUACUGGAGCACUGUCAGUUUCUAUAAUAGUAUCUUGUUAUGUGGCAUAAAGUGUUUGGAACCACCAUUGUAUAGAAUUCUUUUUAUAUUCAAAAUGUGCUAGAUCUCAUUCCCUGCUAUAGUUGUAGCAUUAUCCUAAACACUGUUACUUGAUGGCUUCCACCCAUAACCAUCACCUACCGUUUUUCUCAGUUGACACUCAGUGAUUGUCUUUAGAGCAGAAUUACUGAAAUCAUUAUUCUAAAGGUGAAAAGUUAAGUGUAGGCCAAGUAUGGUGGGGGAAGGGGAAUGUACCAGAUCUGACUGGUAACUGAUUUAUACUGUGUAAUUCAAAAGUACUUUCUCAAUAUGAGCACUUUGCCUUUCUUUUUCUUAUCCUUCCUUCCUUCCUUCCUUCCUUCCUUCCUUCCUUCCUUCCUUCCUUCCUUCGUGCUUGCUGGGUCCCAUAGUCUUCUUUGAUCUCUGUAAAUCAAUAAAAAGUUGGAAUUGAGAAGGAGGUGAGAAGGGAUUACUACUCUGUAAGUGAUGACUUACUGUUUUUACUCAGAGAUUUUCUCAAACCACUCAUGGUUUGUAAAAGCUAGCUAUAAGAGAAACUGGCUGGUUGUCUUUUUCAUGUUGAGCCCUGGAGGAGAUGCCAGAAAGAAUGAGUCUUCUAAUAAAAGCAUGGGUUACCCUCAUAUUAGGAAAUUCUCUCUUGGAUAAUUGAGAGGUGGCCUUGCUUGUACUAGGUCACAAGUGGAAGGAAGUACAAAAGUACUAAGAUAGCAGGCCAAAUUGUACUAGCACUUUCCACACAGGGGCAUUGUAAGACUGCAAUUUAUGUAAUGUUUGAUUGCUACAGAAAGAUAUACGCAUCUUAAGCAAUUUCAGCCUAAUGUACUGGAAAAUUGCUUAACAGAUUUUUAUAUUCUAUUAGAAACAUUUCCAUAUUGGUGAGAUGCCACUCAUUUCUUUUUCUGAGCAGCAAAUCUUGAGUAGCAACGGGAAGAAAGCCUCACCACAGCCACCAUUCAUCUUGUAGACCCGACCUGUGUAUUCAUCUAGAAGAAGAAAUUGCUAAAUGCACACUGGUACCUCUUAGGAUACCCUCUUAAAGGUGUAAUUACUGAGUGAGAACUUUUUCAAAGCCCUUGAUAUGUAUUGUCAAAUUCUAGCCCCUUCCACCAGGUAAGGUACCUAUUACAUGGUAAGUACUCCAUAAAUUAUUGUUGAAUGGAUAAAUGCCUUUCAGAAAGGUCGGAUCGAUUUAUACUCCCACCAGCAUUAUUUGAGAAGAGUCUUGUCUUAGUUGGUCCACAUCAUGACAGGAAUAAUGAUUAAAGCAGAAUUUUGGUUUCUGUGAUUCUGGCAAUGAAAUAAUCCAUUUACCUUAAAAAAAAAAAAGUGGAACUAAAAAGUUGACUCAUCCCUAAAUCAUAU